GAUCAUGGCGUCAGGAUGAACGCUGGCGGCGUGCCUAACACAUGCAAGUCGAACGAAGCAUACGGACCGGAGAUUCGUCGAAGGACUGUAUGACUUAGUGGCGGACGGGUGAGUAAUGUAUGAGCAACCUGCCUUUCAGAGGGGGACAACAGUUGGAAACGACUGCUAAUACCGCGUAAUGUAUCGUGAGGGCAUCCUCGUGAUACCAAAGGAGCAAUCCGCUGAAAGAUGGGCUCAUAUCUGAUUAGCUUGUUGGCGGGGUAACGGCCCACCAAGGCGACGAUCAGUAGCCGGACUGAGAGGUUGAACGGCCACAUUGGGACUGAGAUACGGCCCAGACUCCUACGGGAGGCAGCAGUGGGGAAUAUUGGGCAAUGGGCGAAAGCCUGACCCAGCAACGCCGCGUGAAGGAAGAAGGUCUUCGGAUUGUAAACUUCUUUUAUGAGGGACGAAGGACGUGACGGUACCUCAUGAAUAAGCCACGGCUAACUACGUGCCAGCCGCCGC
rnacentral:rRNA from 1 species